rnacentral:rRNA from 1 species
UACAGAGGGUGCGAGCGUUAAUCGGAAUUACUGGGCGUAAAGCGCACGUAGGCGGCUUGGUAUGUCGGGUGUGAAAUCCCCGGGCUCAACCUGGGAACUGCAUCCGAAACUGCCUUGCUAGAGUAUGGGAGAGGGAAGUGGAAUUUCCGGUGUAGCGGUGAGAUGCGUAGAUAUCGGAAGGAACACCAGUGGCGAAAGCGGCUUCCUGGUCCAGCACCGACGUUCAGGCACGAAAGCGUGGGGAGCAAACAGG